CAAAGAUUAGGUCUAUUCAUUCUUUCUAACUAUUUUGUGUACCUUUUAAAAUUGAGGUUCAAAAGGAAGUUGUAAUGGUUUCAAAACAAUUGAGAUCAGGGAUCUCUAAAUGGGGCUUUGAGGCACCGGGAAACAUACCCUUACCCUAACCUGCAAAUGGGACUCUGAGAAUGUAAAUGCUUAGGUCAAGUUACCAACUAAAUAACAAAGGCUAAGCCCAGAUAUCAGUUCUAUAAUUUGAGGUGCCCCCACCAUUAUUUUCUCUUGAUCCUCAAGUUUCUUACUCUUUUUACUCAUUUCAAUAUUGUCCAGCUGUAGAUGAAUUCUAUUUUUAGAAGUUAGUGUGGUUACAUUUAAACCUAAUUUUCAAACUGACUUGCUUGAGAUCCAAAGCACAUUUUUAAGCGUCAGAGCUCUAGGAACAGAAAAUAGCAUCCCUGGGAUGACAGGAAGGAUGCCCUGUGCCUGGAGGAGGUCUCUCUCCAGGAUUCAGCACACCGUGGAGCUGUGGGAAGUGUGUUAUCUCUGUCAUGAGAGAGAAAGGAGUGGCUGGCUCAGCAAGAUUAGAGCCUCUCUCUGGAUUGUUCCUCAGAACCAGAAGAACUGUGUGGAGUGGCAGCAACUGGAGGAAGCAGAAUGUCCCCGAGCAAGAUUGUCAAGAGAAAAAAGUUACAUGUAUAAAAUCUACAGUAGAAUUGGAAGAUGGAUCUAAUGAGAAUAACACUAAGGAAACACCAUCCUUCAAAAACUAAAAGCUCCUUGAUGAGACACCAGGCGAAAGGCAAGAUGCCAGAGUAUAAAUGACUUUGAGACAAGAAAAUGAAGUGUCCCAGAAGAGGAAAUGCAGUAAGUGUUGGGGAUAAAAAGAAGGUUAGAAAGCGAACAAUUUCAGAAGGGAAGAAAUGACCUCUAAAAGGGAAGCUGGGAUGAUAGCAAAGGCAAUGUCAACGUCCUCACAAUUUCACUUAGAUUUUCCUGGCUACUCUGCAGAAGGCAUGAUAAGAUAAAUGCUUAUUGAUUUCAAGAUCAAGGCAACAGGAUCCUUUCUGUUUAAUUAUUUCUUUGUAAGUUAAAAACUAAAUGCUUUGGCAAGUGCUGUAAAUACAAAGGGCAGGGGUAUUCAGUGCCCUUAGAAUCAAUGGCAAGUUCAAGCUGUGUGUGACAAGGGAUAACCAUUAUUCAUCCAUUCAUUCUAACAAAGUCUGUAAAUGACUACCAUGCAUUAGGUGAUGGUCUGGUCACUGAAAUAUCAGAGACAGGUAAAGCUCAGUCUCUGUUCUUAAGGACCUCAGGGUUUAGAAGAAGAAAAAGACAUAUAAGUAAGUACAAUAGAAAUAUAAACAAGAACCAAAGGUAGCUCAGGGGAAGUGAGUAACUCUUAGAGGAAAAUAUUAAAUAAAGGAUUUCUGGAUGAGAGGAUGUUUGAACUGAAUUCUGAAGAUGAAUAAAAGUCCUUCUGGAGAAAUAAAAACACCAUUUUGGCAGAAAUAAUAGUAUAUGUGAAUACAUUUAGAACAAAGCAUGGAAACUAUGUUUAGGAUAUUGUCAUAAGCUUGGUAUCUUUAGAGCAUUUUGUGUAAGUGGUGAGGGGAGAAAAUGGGAGGAGAUAAAAAACGUAAACGUAGGGUAGGGUAGAUUAUGAAUGGAUAGAAAUGUCUCUUAAAGCAUCUGAACUAUACCCAAAUGCCUAGGAGGAGAA
rnacentral:lncRNA from 10 species